UAAUACGGAGGGUGCAAGCGUUAUCCGGAUUUAUUGGGUUUAAAGGGUGCGUAGGCGGUUUGAUAAGUCAGCGGUGAAAUAUUUCAGCUUAACUGGAAGGGUGCCGUUGAUACUGUCAGGCUUGAAUUUAGUUGCUGUGGGUGGAAUGUGUGGUGUAGCGGUGAAAUGCAUAGAUAUCACACAGAAUAUCGAUUGCGAAGGCAGCUCACAAAGCUAAAAUUGACGCUGAUGCACGAAAGUGUGGGGAUCAAACAGGAUUAGAUACCCUGGUAGUCCACACUGUAAACGAUGAUAACUCGCUGUCGGCGAUACAUAGUCGGUGGCCAAGCGAAAGCGAUAAGUUAUCCACCUGGGGAGUACGACCGCAAGGUUGAAACUCAAAGGAAUUGACGG
rnacentral:rRNA from 1 species